rnacentral:rRNA from 1 species
GAUGAACGCUGGCGGCGUGCUUAACACAUGCAAGUCGAACGGUGAAGCAGAGCUUGCUCUGUGGAUCAGUGGCGAACGGGUGAGUAACACGUGAGCAACCUGCCCCGGACUCUGGGAUAAGCGCUGGAAACGGCGUCUAAUACCGGAUACGAGAUUCCACCGCAUGGUGAGUUUCUGGAAAGAUUUUUUGGUCUGGGAUGGGCUCACGGCCUAUCAGCUUGUUGGUGAGGUAAUGGCUCACCAAGGCGUCGACGGGUAGCCGGCCUGAGAGGGUGACCGGCCACACUGGGACUGAGACACGGCCCAGACUCCUACGGGAGGCAGCAGUGGGGAAUAUUGCGCAAUGGGCGAAAGCCUGACGCAGCGACGCCGCGUGAGGGACGAAGGUCUUCGGAUUGUAAACCUCUUUCAGCAGGGACGAAGCGAAAGUGACUGUACCUGCAGAAGAAGCACCGGCUAACUACGUGCCAGCCGCCGCGGUAAUAC